rnacentral:rRNA from 1 species
AAUCAUGGCUCAGGAUGAACGCUAGCGGCAGGCCUAACACAUGCAAGUCGAGGGGCAGCACGGUGUAGCAAUACACUGGUGGCGACCGGCGCACGGGUGCGUAACGCGUAUGCAACCUACCCAUAACAGGGGGAUAACACUGAGAAAUUGGUACUAAUACCCCAUAACAUCAGGACCGGCAUCGGUUCUGGUUGAAAAACUCCGGUGGUUAUGGAUGGGCAUGCGUUGUAUUAGCUGGUUGGUGAGG